AGAGUUUGAUCCUGGCUCAGGAUGAACGCCGGCGGUGUGCCUAAUACAUGCAAGUCGUACGCACUGGCCCAACUGAUUGAUGGUGCUUGCACCUGAUUGACGUUGGGUCACCAGUGAGUGGCGGACGGGUGAGUAACACGUAGGUAACCUGCCCCGGAGCGGGGGAUAACAUUUGGAAACAGAUGCUAAUACCGCAUAACAACAAAAGCCACAUGGCUUUUGUUUGAAAGAUGGCUUUGGCUAUCACUCUGGGAUGGACCUGCGGUGCAUUAGCUAGUUGGUAAGGUAACGGCUUACCAAGGCGAUGAUGCAUAGCCGAGUUGAGAGACUGAUCGGCCACAAUGGAACUGAGACACGGUCCAUACUCCUACGGGAGGCAGCAGUAGGGAAUCUUCCACAAUGGGCGCAAGCCUGAUGGAGCAACACCGCGUGAGUGAAGAAGGGUUUCGGCUCGUAAAGCUCUGUUGUUGGAGAAGAACGUGCGUGAGAGUAACUGUUCACGCAGUGACGGUAUCCAACCAGAAAGUCACGGCUAACUACGUGCCAGCAGCCGCGGUAAUACGUAGGUGGCAAGCGUUAUCCGGAUUUAUUGGGCGUAAAGCGAGCGCAGGCGGUUGCUUAGGUCUGAUGUGAAAGCCUUCGGCUUAACCGAAGAAGUGCAUCGGAAACCGGGCGACUUGAGUGCAGAAGAGGACAGUGGAACUCCAUGUGUAGCGGUGGAAUGCGUAGAUAUAUGGAAGAACACCAGUGGCGAAGGCGGCUGUCUGGUCUGCAACUGACGCUGAGGCUCGAAAGCAUGGGUAGCGAACAGGAUUAGAUACCCUGGUAGUCCAUGCCGUAAACGAUGAGUGCUAGGUGUUGGAGGGUUUCCGCCCUUCAGUGCCGGAGCUAACGCAUUAAGCACUCCGCCUGGGGAGUACGACCGCAAGGUUGAAACUCAAAGGAAUUGACGGGGGCCCGAACAAGCGGUGGAGCAUGUGGUUUAAUUCGAAGCUACGCGAAGAACCUUACCAGGUCUUGACAUCUUGCGCUAACCUUAGAGAUAAGGCGUUCCCUUCGGGGACGCAAUGACAGGUGGUGCAUGGUCGUCGUCAGCUCGUGUCGUGAGAUGUUGGGUUAAGUCCCGCAACGAGCGCAACCCUUGUUACUAGUUGCCAGCAUUAAGUUGGGCACUCUAGUGAGACUGCCGGUGACAAACCGGAGGAAGGUGGGGACGACGUCAGAUCAUCAUGCCCCUUAUGACCUGGGCUACACACGUGCUACAAUGGACGGUACAACGAGUUGCAAGCUCGCGAGAGUAAGCUAAUCUCUUAAAGCCGUUCUCAGUUCGGACUGUAGGCUGCAACUCGCCUACACGAAGUCGGAAUCGCUAGUAAUCGCGGAUCAGCAUGCCGCGGUGAAUACGUUCCCGGGCCUUGCACACACCGCCCGUCA
rnacentral:rRNA from 1 species